UACGUAGGUGGCAAGCGUUGUCCGGAAUUAUUGGGCGUAAAGCGCGCGCAGGUGGUUCCUUACGUCUGAUGUGAAAGCCCACGGCUCAACCGUGGAGGGUCAUUGGAAACUGGGGAACUUGAGUGCAGAAGAGGAAAGUGGAAUUCCAAGUGUAGCGGUGAAAUGCGUAGAGAUUUGGAGGAACACCGGUGGCGAAGGCGGCAUCCUGGACCGAGAUUGACGCUGAGGCGCGAAAGCCAGGGGAGCAAACGGG
rnacentral:rRNA from 1 species